AUUGAACGCUGGCGGCAUGCCUUACACAUGCAAGUCGAACGGCAGCACGGGAGCAAUCCUGGUGGCGAGUGGCGAACGGGUGAGUAAUAUAUCGGAACGUGCCCAGUCGUGGGGGAUGACGUAGCGAAAGCUACGCUAAUACCGCAUACGAUCUACGGAUGAAAGCGGGGGAUCGCAAGACCUCGCCCGAUUGGAGCGGCCGAUAUCAGAUUAGGUAGUUGGUGAGGUAAAGGCUCACCAAGCCGACGAUCUGUAGCUGGUCUGAGAGGACGACCAGCCACACUGGGACUGAGACACGGCCCAGACUCCUACGGGAGGCAGCAGUGGGGAAUUUUGGACAAUGGGCGCAAGCCUGAUCCAGCAAUGCCGCGUGCAGGAUGAAGGCCUUCGGGUUGUAAACUGCUUUUGUACGGAACGAAACGGUGAGCUCUAAUACAGUUUGCUAAUGACGGUACCGUAAGAAUAAGCACCGGCUAACUACGUGCCAGCCGCCGCAGUAA
rnacentral:rRNA from 1 species